ACUGGAUGCGGGUUCUAUGAUGACAGUUAGGGUGCUCAGCCAUCCGAUCACCAGAGUAGGCCAGCUCAAGCACCUCUUGUGUAUUGGCUUCUUUGUAGACUGAUUUAAAUGUCUUGAAGUUGACUAUGCUGUUGUGACCCAAUAGGACGAUAAGCAACCAUAGACUACUUCUUUGCUCUAUUCUUGCCCUGAUGGUCUCAGAUCCAGAAAAAAAUGAAUAUACACAUUUCUUCACAGG